UGGGGAAUUUUCCGCAAUGGGCGAAAGCCUGACGGAGCAAUACCGCGUGAGGGAGGAAGGCUUUUGGGUUGUAAACCUCUUUUCUUAGGGAAGAAGAAAGUGACGGUACCUAAGGAAUCAGCAUCGGCUAACUCCGUGCCAGCAGCCGCGGUAAGACGGAGGAUGCAAGCGUUAUCCGGAAUUAUUGGGCGUAAAGCGUCCGUAGGCGGUUUUUCAAGUCUGCCGUUAAAGACCACAGCUUAACUGUGGGCCGGCGGUGGAAACUGAAGAACUGGAGUACGGUAGGGGUAGAGGGAAUUCCCAGUGUAGCGGUGAAAUGCGUAGAUAUUGGGAAGAACACCAGUGGCGAAGGCGCUCUACUGGGCCGUAACUGACGCUGAGGGACGAAAGCUAGGGGAGCGAAAGGGAUUAGAUACCCCCGUAGUCC
rnacentral:rRNA from 1 species